rnacentral:misc_RNA from 1 species
GACGGAGGGUGCAAGCGUUGUUCGGAAUCAUUGGGCGUAAAGGGUGCGCAGGCGGUCUUUCAAGUCUGGCGUGAAAUCCCGGGGCUCAACCCCGGAACUGCGUUGGAAACUGAAAGACUUGAGUAUGGGAGAGGUCCGUGGAAUUCCAGGUGUAGGGGUGAAAUCCGUAGAGAUCUGGAGGAACACCGGCGGCGAAAGCGACGGACUGGACCAGUACUGACGCUGAGGCACGAAAGCGUGGGGAGCAAACAGG